AUAAAAAUGAAAUAUGCAUAUAAAAUAUCGCGUAUUACAAAGUAUUUUCUUUGCAUAAAUACUGAGUUUGUAUUGUUUGUUUGUGUGUUUGUCGCCCAUAAAAGACAAACAAACCAAACAGUUUGCUAUUUGCCUAAUGAGAGGAUGUGAACCCAAACUGAGACAACGACAGUCUGUGACAAGCAGGUGCAGCUCAGUGGAGAUUAGUGUCUGUCCGAUUAGAUCAAUAACCUUCACACCACGUUAUCACCUGGCAGAGUUCAACAUGGGACAAGAUGAAAAAGUUGAACAUGCUACCAUCAGUGAUUAAAGCAGAAGAGCACAAGAAUCUUUCAGUCUGCACAGAAACACAAAGUGCAAACUGUGCUGUAUAUAACUGUAUCCCACAGGCCUGGAUGUGCUGUUCUGUCUGCAGCCCAACACAAACUGCAGAUGAAGCUAUACUCCUCCAGUGUCUCUAAACUGAACUUUGGGUCACAGGGACACAUAACAAGCUAAUGGAAAAAAUUAUAUUUUUACAUCAAAAUAAUCUUUGUACAGAGUAAGUAUGGUGCAGGGUGCUGGUUAAAAAAAUCAAAAGUGAACAGAUGACACCUUUACAUGCAAAAUUAUUUUUUGGAGAUUUUUAAUAUAAAUCAGUCAAUCAAAGAUGGAGGAAUAAGAAUCACAUGUAACAUAACAGUUAUUUAUUGAGUUUUGGGAGUGGGGAAGGUACCCUGUUUAGAUGACCCAACUCUGUGCCAUAUGUUCAUGUAUGAAAAAUAUACAAACACAAGUAUGUAUUUGAGUUAUACUAAAUGGAUACUGUGAAAAUUAACAGCAUACAAGUUUUCUGCUUUUCCAGUGUUCCUGCUCACUGUGCUGCUCUCAUGGUCUGGACCAUCAAACUUUCCAAAAACUUUGCAGACAACAAAAUCUGCAACCAGCCAACAGCAGCAUACAACAUCAGUCAUCAGUCAUUUCCCUCAGAAUGAAAGCAUGUUCACAAAAAACAUAUUUUUUUUACACUUAUGAAAAUAGAACAAGAAAAUGAAGUGUUUUUACCACAAGUUGGUCAAGACUUUUAUAGUGAAAAUCUUUGUCAAGGACCUGCCAAUUAUUAUUAUCAUUAUUAUUAUUUUCUUUUAAAUUAUUUUAGCAUCUAAUGACAAAUAUUUUGUGACAGAUGCAUGUAGCGUACACAGUGUCUGGUCUUGCAGGCACACUGAAGGAGAAUCAAAUUACCCUGAAACAGACCACAUCAGGCACAUGAAUGUUAAGAGUAAUGUUCAUAAAGGGUAAGAGAGAUACUAGAAAAUAAACCAACACACUUGGAUUGCUGUUGCAACACGAAACUACACAGUUUUUAGUGACCUUAAGGCAAAAAUAGUGGAAAAUUGUAAAAAGCAGGGCUUUAAAAGGCAGAGACUUAAUCAAUACUUGGUGAUAGCACAAUGGUAGGACAGUACUCAUAGUAUAGUGUGUAUCAUUGACGAAUGGGUGAUGACUGUGUGUUUCACCUGCAGCGUAUCAGCAGCAGCAUCCAGCACAGGAGCAGCCAGGAUCACAGCAGAAUCUGUAAUGAAUACUUCUCUACACCACACCUGCUCUCUCUGCUCCUGGUAGUCAGGAGAGAGGAGACAGAACUAACUGUAAAAAUAUCUCUUCUUCAUAUAUCAAAUAAUACGCAGAGUGAAGUGGCUUUCAUUGUUUACUGUGGCUUGCGGUUUUCAUAGACCUCAGCAACACUUCUGUCAGUGUCCUGGGAGACCGCUUCAGUAUGGCAGUCGUUCAGCAACUGUCUAGGAAGGAGCUUGACAAAAUGGAUGAGCAGUGUGAAGAGGGUGAGGAUAGGAUACAGUUGGUCUAGCUCAGUGGAUCUAAUGUUUUGUAGGUGACAUGAACCAAUGUUACAUCGUUUUACAUUGCCAUAGAAGUUAAUAUUUAGAGCAACAUUUUGUCGCACUAUAUUUCUCCAACUAUACAGUUGUUGAAGACAGCAACUGACUUGGCACAGCACUAGCAUUUCUAGGCUGAUUACUGACUCUCCUUAGUUUUCAAGUAGCCUACUACUUAAAGAAAAUAGAUAUGUGUGCUACUGUUAACAGUGUAGUGUUGUGAGGCAUCAUAUUGAUGAUAAAACCCACUACUGUGUCCUCUGCAGCUCUUCACUGGGUCUUAGUUUGUAUAUGGUAUCAGUCAUUUCACUGGGUUGCAAAUUCCGAUUUGUGGGUUACCAGGCAAUUAAGCUUUUGCUGUGCUAGUAGUUUGACUCAAGGAAUAACAAUGUUGGUGAGACAGUCAGUCCACCACUUUGGUCCUGACUGAAAAAUCUCAACAACUAUUAGUUGGAUUGGGAUAAAAUUUUGGAUCCAUCUAGAAUCAGGUGGUUUAGUGGUUUUGAGUUACAGUAAACAUCUGAACAACUGUUUUUUUAAAUUUGUCACAGACAUCCAAAUGGUUGCAAAACAUUGACAUUCAUGACAUGACGUUCAGUGUCAGUAGUACUUUGUAUUUAGUGCUAAUUAUGAAAUAUUAGCACAAUCAUGCCAAACUAAGAUGUUUGUGAACAUUACCUAACCAGUGUUAUGUAAUAUUAUCUUUUUUUCAUUUUGUGCAUGUUAGCAUGCUGACAUUAGCAUUUAGCUCAAAGCACCAUUGUGUAUAGCAUCGCUGUAGACUCUUAGUAGCCGGCUUAGUGUGAACGUACUCUACAUCAGCCAUGGCUUCAUCAUAGCCCAUUCAAUAGUCUAAUUUUAGCACUUCCGCUUCUUUGCAAUAUUAAUAUAGUUGUUAAUGAUACGCCUUUAAGCAGAAUACUCAAAUACAUUUUCUAUCAUCCUGUGUUUUAUUUUGUUUUUCCUUUAUGAUGUAAAUGGAGUAUAGUUGUUGUGAUAGAAGUGUCUGCAUGUUUAUAUUAAAAAUGUACAUAUUUUAAUUUAUGCUGGUAAAAGUAGCUGAGAAACUGCUGACAGGUAGGGUAUUACUGCACGGCACACUGAAUGAGGGAAUGUAGAACAGCUGCUGAGGUGUCCCAGCUAAUCAAACCCUCAUCACAACAUUUAAUUUUUCUUUCUCAUUCAGCAGCCUGAAUUCGGACUUUUGAUAUGAAGCCAGGGGUUUGUGUAUUGACAUGUGAUCCUCUGUCCUCUGGUAAAGCAGAGGGUAAAGAUCAAUAAAAAUCCGUAUACAAUACUGAGAAAUGUCCCCAAAGUCCAUUGGAGCAGCAUUUUCUCCCACCUUCUCUCUCCCCCUCCCCCUUCUCUCUUUGUCCCCCUCCCUCUCUCCUAUGUUUCUUCUAUAAGCCGACCUCUACUGUAUCUACCCCUGGCAUCACACUGCAGAGCACUGAGGAAGGCUCAAACUGCAUCAGACAAGGAAAGUUGAAAGAAUGUUCUUCCUUACCACAAUUUUACUCUUUGGCUUUGCAUCAGCCCAGAAGGUGAUUCAGUUGAACUACUGCUCAAUAGAUGAGCACCACCUCAGGAUGGACUGCAAAUAUGCGAUUUCUGCUGAGUCACCAGAAGUAUUUUGCAAGUACACACAAGGAGAAAGACUCCUUGACACCACCGACCCAGAUGAGGAGCAACACGCCCCCUUCAAGAAACGUGCCAAAGCCCGCAUCUUUCCAGGAAACAACUGUCGCCUGCUGUUUAAAAACCUGCCCAACGGCAAGUCCAACUUCACCUGCAACAUCAAACAGCCUGACUCUGCCACGGCAUCCAAAACCUCAGUGGUUGACAAAAAGCUCCUCCUCCCCUGCUCAGCGUGGAGUGUCCUAUUACAAAGCUGCAGUGGCCUACUGCUGACCUUGAUGACACUUCCCAUGCUGCUGGAAAUUCACUGGCUGUGAACAAGGCGCCAAACUGCUGCAUAUACUUAAACACGGCACCCAUAAUCAUCUGGUGACUGCUAUUGGCCUUUCCACAAAUUGUGUGUAUGCACAAAGUGCAAUGAGUUGAACUGAAUGUAUGUACAAUAUAUGCUGUAUUUGGUAUGUAACAGGCCUGCAUACUCAGCAUUAUGCACUCAAUACUAAGCACACGUACUACUGCAUACACUUUAUACUCUACAGUACUCUCACAUAUAAUCAGUUGCUGAAAUGUACAGAACAAAUAUGUUGGCUCCAGAUAAAUUUCUGACAGACUUGCCAAGCGGGUGAUGAGCAUAAAUGUGACUGAGUCCUAAAAUUGAAAGUCUAUAUUCAGUUAUGCUUAAUAUCUACAUUCAAUAAUCUUAGUGAUUUUAUUCAAUGUAAUGAAAGAUAUUGAGCUUUAGCCUACAGUCUUAAUAACAAGAUGGGGAAAAAUAUCAGCGAGGGCUGCAAAUAGGAGAGACUUUAAAAAGAGAUGAAAACUUUUGCUACUAUCUAACAAUUUAAAUUUUCCUAGCUCAAUAGUGAUGCAAAGUUGCCCCGUGUGACUUUAUUGCUGAGUUUCAUCGCUCUUUAAGGUAAGCAAUCUAUUUUGCCUGACUGAUAUCUGUCCCCUGUGUCUCUUCUUGGCUGCCAAACGAUGAGAGGAGAUAGAGGCGACCUUGUGCCACACAGAUCUUCUAGUGGAAGAUUGUGUCGAAUCAGUCGAUAAGAACUGGGUAGGGCAGCACCUUUAGCUUUGGAAGGGUUUAGUAUAGUGAUAAACAGAGAAACAAAAACUUUAAAACUGUUUUUGACUGUUUAAUGAUGCAUGCAUGAGCAAUAAAGUCUCUAAUUUACUCUAUUCCGAGGAGACAAUGUAUAAAAGCCUGCAGCGAUUGUGACGAAGAAAACCUAAACACAAACUCAGUGUUUAUUUUGCCUUUCACUUGUGCCUGAGACACAUGAUCCAUGUUCAGCCGAGGCUCAUAUAUACAGUACGUAUAGCACAUAUACAGUAUGUCUCAGAGGGCUGUAAGUCAGAUCCUCAUUGAUGGUCCUAUUUAUACAUUUACAUUGAAUAUGCUUUUUAUGGUGCAAUGUUUUCUCUGAUAAUGUAAAGGAUUUUUACUCAUGUAUAUAGUUGAGUAGGUGGUGUGUAGCCAAAGCACAAUCAUUUAAAUGCACUGAAAAGCACUGCUGUACUAUGUACUGUAUACUGACAAUAAACUGAACUGAAAUGUAAAGGUAUAAACAAAGAAGAACAAUGCUUGUUAAAAGGAACAAACAAACCAAAAUGAAAUGUGGCACUGAGCUUUGAGGCACUUUUCUUGAAGACAAAUAUAAUGUAAAAGUAAAUUAAAUAUAUUUAUGCAUGAAAUCUGA